CCCGCUACACCUAAGCAUAUCAAAAAAGGGGAGGAAAGGAAACUGACCAGGAUUUUCCUAGUAACGGCGAGUGAAGAGGUAAUAGCCCAGCAGCGAAGCCUCUGGUAGAUUGACUGCUGGGCAAUGUGGUGUUUAGGUUGAUUCGUGUGAUUGCCACUCCACUCGAUAACCAGCACUUAGUAAGGUUCCCUGGAUUUGACCAGAGAGGAUGAGCGUCCCGCACGAGUAUAGGUUCAGACAUGCGAGGCAAUUCACCAGGUUGACCUUUGAGUCGGGUUUUUAGGGAAUACAACCCAAAGUGGGUGGUCGUUGGUGGUGGUGAAUCGGUCGGUGGCUCCCCUGGGGUCGUAAGUUGAGCUUUGAUAAUCACAGGCGAAUUCAGUGAGUG
rnacentral:ncRNA from 1 species